CGUGUAGGCGGAUAAGUAAGUCGAUGGUGAAAUCCUAUAGCUUAACUGUAGAAUUGCCUUUGAUACUGCCUAUCUUGAGUUCGGGAGAGGGAAGCGGAAUUCCUGGUGUAGCGGUGAAAUGCGUAGAUAUCAGGAAGAACACCGGUAGCGAAGGCAGCUUCCUGGCCCGAUACUGACGCUGAAGCGCGAAAGCGUGGGGAGCAAACA
rnacentral:rRNA from 1 species